ACAUACGGCCAUAGAUAGUGGAAAACUCGGGAUCCCGUCCGCUCUCCCAUAGAUAAGCCACUAAUCGCCUGACUAGUAGUUGGGUCGGUGACGACCAGCGAAUCCCAGGUGCUGUAUGUU
rfam:Neurospora crassa OR74A linkage group V, whole genome shotgun sequence.